rnacentral:rRNA from 1 species
CCAGACUUCUACGGAAGGCAGCAGUUAAGAAUCUUGCGCAAUGGGCGAAAGCCUGACGCAGCGACGCCGCGUGGACGAUGAAGGCCUUCGGGUUGUAAAGUCCGGUAAACAGGGAAGAAUAAGUUUCGUUGAAUAAGCGGAACGAUGACGGUACCUGUCUAAAGCCCCGGCUAACUACGUGCCAGCAGCCGCGGUAAUACGUAUGGGGCGAGCGUUGUUCGGAAUUAUUGGGCAUAAAGGGCGUCUAGGCGGGGGACUAAGUUAGGUGUGAAAGCCAUGAGCUCAACCCGUGAAUUGCAUCUAAAACUGGUUCUCUUGAGUUCGGGAGAGGAGUGCGGAAUUCCUGGUGUAGCGGUGAAAUGCGUAGAUAUCAGGAAGAACACCAGUGGCGAAGGCGGCACUCUGGCCUAGAACUGACGCUGAAGCGCGAAAGCGUGGGGAGCGAACGGGAUUAGAUACCCCGGUAGUCCACGCCGUAAACGUUGUGUACUAGGUGUUAGUGCUUUAAGCACUAGUGCCGACGCUAACGCAUUAAGUACACCGCCUGGGGAGUACGGCCGCAAGGCUUAAACUCAAAGAAAUUGACGGGGGCCCGCACAAGCGGUGGAGCAUGUGGUUUAAUUCGAUGAUACGCGAAGAACCUUACCAGGGCUUGAACUGUUUCUGACAGGUGUAGAGAUACACCCUCCUUCGGGCAGAUUCAGAGGUGCUGCAUGGUUGUCGUCAGCUCGUGUCGUGAGAUGUUGGGUUAAGUCCCGCAACGAGCGCAACCCUUACUCCUUGUUGCUAUCAGGUUAUGCUGGGCACUCUAGGGGAACUGCCGGUGAUAAACCGGAGGAAGGUGGGGAUGACGUCAAAUCAGCACGGCCCUUAUGUCCUGGGCUACACACGUGCUACAAUGGCCGGUACAAUGAGCAGCGAUGCCGCGAGUGGGAGCGAAUCUCAAAAAACCGGUCUCAGUUCGGAUUGUAGUCUGCAACUCGACUACAUGAAGCUGGAAUCGCUAGUAAUCGGAGAUCAGCACGCUCCGGUGAAUACGUUCCCGGGCCUUGUACACACCGCCCGUCACACCAUCCGAGUUGGCAGCACCCGAAGUGGCUGAGCUAAUCCUUUUGG